GUCCACCAGGCACAGCCUCCAGAGCCCUCCAAUAUGAAUCAGGCAUAGCCUGAUGAAGUCACUCUCUACAACCCUGACAAAACCAAGAGUGAAGACCCUGGUGAGAAUGGUGACUCCUCUUUAGGACUCUCUCCUCAGCCAGCCGUCAACUCCACCCCAGGAGAAGCCUCCAUGAGUUCCUGACCUGAUCACUGCAGCCUGAGUGAGUGAGCAUCUGCUGGACUUAAACCAAGACUUGAGACUCUAGACUUGACACUUAAGCUGAGCAUGCAGAGAGAAUGUCUGGCACGAGUCUAUCAUGAUUAAGUGUGUUUGCAGUGCUUAG
rnacentral:lncRNA from 1 species